UACUCCUACGGGAGGCAGCAGUGAGGAAUAUUGGACAAUGGUCGGAAGACUGAUCCAGCCAUGCCGCGUGCAGGAUGAAGGUCCUAUGGAUUGUAAACUGCUUUUGUAAGGGAAGAAUAAGGAGUACGUGUACUUUGAUGACGGUACCUUACGAAUAAGCAUCGGCUAACUCCGUGCCAGCAGCCGCGGUAAUACGGAGGAUGCGAGCGUUAUCCGGAAUCAUUGGGUUUAAAGGGUCCGUAGGCGGGCUGAUAAGUCAGAGGUGAAAGCGCUUAGCUCAACUAAGCAACUGCCUUUGAAACUGUCAGUCUUGAAUGAUUGUGAAGUAGUUGGAAUGUGUAGUGUAGCGGUGAAAUGCUUAGAUAUUACACAGAACACCGAUAGCGAAGGCAUAUUACUAACAAUUUAUUGACGCUGAUGGACGAAAGCGUGGGGAGCGAACAGGAUUAGAUACCCUGGUAGUCCACGCUGUAAACGAUGGAUACUAGCUGUUUGGAGCAAUCUGAGUGGCUAAGCGAAAGUGAUAAGUAUCCCACCUGGGGAGUACGCACGCAAGUGUGAAACUCAAAGGAAUUGACGGA
rnacentral:rRNA from 1 species